UGGGGAAUAUUGCACAAUGGGCGCAAGCCUGAUGCAGCCAUGCCACGUGUAUGAAGAAGGCCUUCGGGUUGUAAAGUACUUUCAGCGGGGAGGAAGGUGUUGAGGUUAAUAACCUCAGCAAUUGACGUUACCCGCAGAAGAAGCACCGGCUAACUCCGUGCCAGCAGCCGCGGUAAUACGGAGGGUGCAAGCGUUAAUCGGAAUUACUGGGCGUAAAGCGCACGCAGGCGGUCUGUCAAGUCGGAUGUGAAAUCCCCGGGCUCAACCUGGGAACUGCAUUCGAAACUGGCAGGCUAGAGUCUUGUAGAGGGGGGUAGAAUUCCAGGUGUAGCGGUGAAAUGCGUAGAGAUCUGGAGGAAUACCGGUGGCGAAGGCGGCCCCCUGGACAAAGACUGACGCUCAGGUGCGAAAGCGUGGGGAGCAAACA
rnacentral:rRNA from 1 species